AACAAGGUCUCCGUUGGUGAACCAGCGGAGGGAUCAUUACCGAGUACUAUAACUCAUAACCCUUUGUGAACCUUUAUACCUGUUGCUUCGGCGGCGCGCCUCCCGGGGCGUGCCCGCCGGCAUUAUCAGAAUCUCUGUUCGAACCCGACGAUACAUCUGAGUGUUCUAAGCGAACUGUUAAAACUUUCAACAACGGAUCUCUUGGCUCCAGCAUCGAUGAAGAACGCAGCGAAACGCGAUAUGUAAUGUGAAUUGCAGAAUUCAGUGAAUCAUCGAAUCUUUGAACGCACAUGGCGCCUUCCAGUAUCCUGGGAGGCAUGCCUGUCCGAGCGUCGUUUCAACCCUCGAGCCCCCGUGGCCCGGCGUUGGGGAUCUGCCCAGGCAGUCCCCGAAAACCAGUGGCGGACCCGUUGGGCCCUUCCUUUGCGUAGUAACAUCUGCCUCGCAUCGGGAGCCUGCGGGCUAUCCGGCCUCUAAACCCCCCUCAAGCCCGCUCCGGCGGCACCAAGGUUGACCUCGGAUCAGGUAGGAAUACCCGCUGAACUUAAGCAUAUCAAUAAGCGGAGGAAAAGAAACCAACAGGGAUUGCCUCAGUAACGGCGAGUGAAGCGGCAACAGCUCAAAUUUGAAAUCUGGCUCCUUCGGGGCCCGAGUUGUAAUUUGCAGAGGAUGCUUCGGGUACGGGUUCCUUCCGAGUUCCCUGGAACGGGACGCCAUAGAGGGUGAGAGCCCCGUCUGGUAGGACACCCAGCCCGUGUGAAGCUCCCUCGACGAGUCGAGUAGUUUGGGAAUGCUGCUCUAACGGGAGGUAUACUCCUUCCAAGGCUAAAUACCGGCUGGAGACCGAUAGCGCACAAGUAGAGUGAUCGAAAGAUGAAAAGCACUUUGAAAAGAGAGUCAAAUAGCACGUGAAAUUGUUGAAAGGGAAGCGCUCGCUACCAGACAUGGGUUCGGCGGUUCAACCGGGGCCACGCCCCGGGGCACUCCGCCGGCCCAGGCCAGCAUCAGCUUUCCGUCGGGGGCAAAGACGUCGGGAAUGUGGCUCCCCUCCGGGGGAGUGUUAUAGCCCGGCGUGUCAUACCCUUCGGGGGGCUGAGGUACGCGCUUCUGCAAGGAUGCUGGCGUAAUGGUAGCUAGUGACCCGUCUUGAAACACGGACCAAGGAGUCAACCUUAUGUGCGAGUGCCCGGGCGUAAAACCCCAGCGCGGAAUGAAAGUGAACGUAGGUGAGAGCUUCGGCGCAUCACCGACCGAUCCUGAUGUCCUCGGACGGAUUUGAGUGAGAGCAUAUAGGGUUGGACCCGAAAGAAGAUGAACUAUGCGUGUGUAGGGUGAAGCCAGAGGAAACUCUGGUGGAGGCUCGCAGCGGUUCUGACGUGCAAAUCGAUCGUCAAACAUGCGCAUGGGGGCGAAAGACUAAUCGAAUCUUCUGGUAGCUGGUUUCCGCCGAAGUUUCCCUCAGGAUAGCAGUGUUGAUCCCAGUUUUAUGAGGUAAAGCGAAUGAUUAGGGACUCGGGGGCGCUAUUUAGCCUUCAUCCAUUCUCAAACUUUAAAUAUGUAAGAAGUCCCCGUUACUUAGUUGAACGCGGACGCUGGAAUGUAGCAACACUAGUGGGCCAUUUUUGGUAAGCAGAACUGGCGAUGCGGGAUGAACCGAACGCGAGGUUAAGGUGCCGGAGUGGACGCUCAUCAGACACCACAAAAGGUGUUAGUACAUCUUGACAGCAGGACGGUGGCC
rnacentral:rRNA from 1 species